GUAGGUGGCAAGCGUUGUCCGGAAUUAUUGGGGCGUAAAGCGCGCGCAGGCGGUUCUUUAAGUCUGAUGUGAAAGCCCACGGGCUCAACCGUGGAGGGUCAUUGGAAACUGGAGAACUUGAGUACAGAAGAGGAAAGCGGAAUUCCACGUGUAGCGGUGAAAUGCGUAGAGAUGUGGAGGAACACCAGUGGCGAAGGCGGCUUUCUGGUCUGUAACUGACGCUGAGGCGCGAGAGCGUGGGGAGCAAACAGGAUUAGAUACCCUGGUAGUCCACGCCGUAAACGAUGAGUGCUAAGUGUUAGGGGGUUUCCGCCCCUUAGUGCUGCAGCUAACGCAUUAAGCACUCCGCCUGGGGAGUACGGCCGCAAGGCUG
rnacentral:rRNA from 1 species